GUGGGGAAUAUUGGACAAUGGGGGAAACCCUGACCCAGCGACGCCGCGUGAGGGAAGAAGGCCUUAGGGUCGUAAACCUCUGUUGUGUGGGAAGAAGAGCGUGACGGUACCACACGAGGAAGUCCCGGCUAACUACGUGCCAGCAGCCGCGGUAAUACGUAGGGGACGAGCGUUGUCCGGAUUUACUGGGCGUAAAGGGCGCGUAGGCGGUCAUUUAAGUCAGCUGUGAAAUGGUUUGGCUUAACCGGAUCAUGCGGUUGAAACUGGAUGACUGGAGUGCUGGAGAGGCAAGUGGAAUUCCCAGUGUAGCGGUGAAAUGCGUAGAUAUUGGGAAGAACACCGGUGGCGAAGGCGACUUGCUGGCCAGCAACUGACGCUGAGGCGCGAAAGCCAGGGGAGCAAACGGGAUUAGAAACCCCUGUAGUUCC
rnacentral:rRNA from 1 species